UGAGGAAUAUUGGGCAAUGCUCGCAAGGGUGACCCAGCAACGCCGCGUGGAGGAUGAAUGUCGUAAGAUUGUAAACUCCUGUUAGAGGGGAAGAAUAGUACCGGUUGGACCGGUAUAUGACUGUACCCUCAGAGAAAGCCCCGGCUAACUACGUGCCAGCAGCCGCGGUAAUACGUAGGGGGCAAGCGUUGUCCGGAUUUACUGGGUGUAAAGGGCGCGCAGGCGGAAUGGAAAGUCAGUGGUGAAAUCCUACAGCUUAACUGUAGAACUGCCUUUGAUACUUUCAUUCUUGAGUUCGGGAGAGAGAGACGGAAUUCCAGGUGUAGUGGUGAAAUACGUAGAUAUCUGGAAGAACACCAGUUGCGAAGGCGGUCUCUUGGUCCGAUACUGACGCUGAGGCGCGAAAGCGUGGGGAGCAAACA
rnacentral:rRNA from 1 species